rnacentral:tRNA from 3 species
UGAGUUGAAGCCUUAUGGUUUAGGUUUUUGGCCGUUAACCAAAAGAUAGCAAGAUCAAUACUUGUCAAUUCAG